CGGCCGCGUCGACGUUUGAUCCUGGCUCAGGAUGAACGCUAGCUACAGGCUUAACACAUGCAAGUCGAGGGGCAGCAUGAGCUUAGCUUGCUAAGUUUGAUGGCGACCGGCGCACGGGUGAGUAACGCGUAUCCAACCUUCCGUUUACUCGGGUAUAGCCUUUCGAAAGAAAGAUUAAUCCCCGAUAGUAUGGUAAGAUUGCAUGAAAAUACCAUUAAAGAUUAAUCGGUAAACGAUGGGGAUGCGUUCCAUUAGGUAGUAGGCGGGGUAACGGCCCACCUAGCCAACGAUGGAGUAGGGGUAUCUAAUCCCAUUCGCUCCCCUAGCUUUCUUCCAGAGAAAGGGUUACAACCAAGAGCCUUCUCCCCACGCGGUCGUCGACGCGGCCG
rnacentral:rRNA from 1 species